CCUCAGUAACGGCGAGUGAAGCGGUAACAGCUCAAAUUUGAAAUCUGGGCCUUUCAGGCUCCGAGUUGUAAUUUGUAGAAGAUGCUUUGGGUGCGGCCCCGGUCUAAGUUCCUUGGAACAGGACGUCAUAGAGGGUGAGAAUCCCGUAUGUGAUCGGUGGCUUGCGCCCGUGUAAAGCUCUUUCGACGAGUCGGGUUGUUUGGGAAUGCAGCUCUAAAUGGGUGGUAAAUUUCAUCUAAAGCUAAAUAUUGGCCAGAGACCGAUAGCGCACAAGUAGAGUGAUCGAAAGAUGAAAAGCACUUUGGAAAGAGAGUUAAACAGUACGUGAAAUUGUUGAAAGGGAAGCGCUUGCAACCAGACUUGCGCGGGGUUGAUCAUCCGGGGUUCUCCCCGGUGCACUCGGCCCCGCUCAGGCCAGCAUCGGUUUUGGUGGUUGGAUAAAGGCCUUGGGAAUGUGACUUCUUUCGGGGAGUGUUAUAGCCCUCGGUGCAAUGCAGCCUACCGGGACCGAGGACCGCGCUUCGGCUAGGAUGCUGGCGUAAUGGUUGUAAGCGACCCGUCUUGAAACACGGACCAAGGAGUCUAACAUCUAUGCGAGUGUUUGGGUGUCAAACCCAUGCGCGUAAUGAAAGUGAACGGAGGUGAGAACCCUUAAGGGCGCAUCAUCGACCGAUCCUGAUGUCUUCGGAUGGAUUUGAGUAAGAGCAUAGCUGUUGGGACCCGAAAGAUGGUGAACUAUGCCUGAAUAGGGUGAAGCCAGAGGAAACUCUGGUGGAGGCUCGCAGCGGUUCUGACGUGCAAAUCGAUCGUCAAAUUUGGGCAUAGGGGCGAAAGACUA
rnacentral:rRNA from 1 species